rnacentral:rRNA from 1 species
GAUGAACGCUGGCGGCGUGCUUAACACAUGCAAGUCGAACGAGAAGUGAAGACGGAAACCUUCGGGCGGAAGGCUUUAUUUCGAGUGGCGGACGGGUGAGUAACGCGUGGGUAACCUGCCUCAUACAGGGGGAUAACAGUUGGAAACGACUGUUAAUACCGCAUAAGACCACAGCACCGCAUGGUGCGGGGGUAAACACUCCGGUGGUAUGAGAUGGACCCGCGUUCGAUUAGCCAGUUGGCGGGGUAACGGCCCACCAAAGCGACGAUCGAUAGCCGAUCUGAGAGGAUGACCGGCCACAUUGGGACUGAGACACGGCCCAAACUCCUACGGGAGGCAGCAGUGGGGAAUAUUGCACAAUGGGGGAAACCCUGAUGCAGCGACGCCGCGUGAGUGAAGAAGUAUUUCGGUAUGUAAAGCUCUAUCAGCAGGGAAGAAAAUGACGGUACCUGAGGAAGAAGCCCCGGCUAACUACGUG